AGAAAAUGCUGGAAAAGCUCAAUGAUGCUUGUCCUGCUGAGUAUUUUGCUAAGCUUGUUUUGCAGCAUAUUUCACCAUGUGAUAACAGCAGGAGUCUCCUGGUCAGCCAGAACCAUUUGGUAGCUGUAGAACAGCCACUCCACCUCAAAGGACUCCACAGGUUCUCAGCACAAGGGGCUACCAGAAGAUGACCUUGGUAAUUCAAUGUUAUAGAUUUGCUGUGGCUUCAAUGCUUUAAUGUAUUUCCUAUGAUAAGGUCCCAAAACAAUUCUGUAUUCUAACCUAUGGCCUUGGACAAAAUUAUUUCACUUUCACAUCUAUGGCCCUGGUUAUCAAUCUCAAAAUAUUGGUCUUGUGGUUUCAAUUAUCUAUGCUCCUACUUCAAGAAUUCUGUAUUUGAACCCAUUAUCCAUCCACAUCCUUCAGCAACUUUCCAUUGAGUUCAUAAUCUUAUUCCUGGUUUCCUCCUAAAAUGUGUAACUUCACACUUCUCUGCAUUAAGUUAAAUUUACAAUUACAUUUGCCAUUUGAUACCCUUGCCACUAGUUUGCCAAUGCCCCCCAAAGUUUUAUAUAAGUUUUAUUUGUUUUGAACCCAUUCAUUACACCAUCAGUAAAUAAUCUUGUAUUCCCAUAUCAUCUAUGUCAAGAUCAAAAGUAGUCCCAGCACUGACCAUUAAAGUAGACAACCUCACUCUUCAAACCAAGCAAGAUCUGUUAUCCUAAACUUGGUUUCCUCUAUCAACUUUGUAUUCAUGUGCUGCAUUUCCCCAUUGCCUGAAUUUUGGCAAAAUAUCUGAAUUAAAUUGGUAAAUGCUUUGAAAAUCCAUGUACACUACAUGCCUUUAUCAAAAGUCACCUUUGCAAACAACUAUUAAAUCUAUUAAAUGUGCCAAAUCAAUUUGCCUUUAACAAAUCCAUUGACACUCCUGCAGUGUAGGAAUGCUCUCAUUUUAGGUUGAAUUAUUGGUUCUAAAA